GUGCUGUGAUACUUUUGUAUAUUUUAUGUCUGAUUUUGUAAGCAAGCUUUUAAAUGCAGUGAAAGUUGGGCGUACACAAGACAAAUCAGACUCCUGAAAGAGGUACAGUAGCCUGGAAAGGUUGAGAACCACUGCACUGUAGGGUCCUGG